rnacentral:rRNA from 1 species
GACGAACCGUACGAACGUUAUUCGGAAUCACUGGGCUUAAGGGGUGCGUAGGCGGCGCGACAAGUUGGGUGUGAAAUCCCUCGGCUCAACCGAGGAACUGCGCCCAAAACUGUCGUGCUCGAGGGAGACAGAGGUGAGCGGAACUUAGGGUGGAGCGGUGAAAUGCGUUGAUAUCCUAAGGAACACCGGUGGCGAAAGCGGCUCACUGGGUCUCUUCUGACGCUGAGGCACGAAAGCUAGGGUAGCGAACGGG